rnacentral:tRNA from 1 species
UGGCUGCUAGCCCAGUUGGUUAGGGCAGCCACUCUAGUUUCAAGAGGGGUCAUGGGAUCAAAUCCCAGCUACCCAU